AAAAAUUAAAGUCAAUGACAGAAGUAACCACACUUACUAAGUACAACUGAUUAAGAACCUAUACAAUAGCUGAAUAUCGUUUUAAGGUUUUAAUUGAUUCAUGUCUCAUUUCCUUUUGCUACUCUUUCUUCCUCUUGGCAUCCUUAUCAGUUAUUAUGUUUUCAAUGAAAGUAAUGAUUGUAGCAUAUCAGUGGACACAAAGAAAUGAAAGGAGAGGAAAGAUGUGCAUGUCAGAACAAAUAAAUAAUAAAAAGUCCAACAGCCCCACUUUAAAAAUUUCAUAUAUUCACAUAACACUUAGCAGAC
rnacentral:lncRNA from 1 species